AUUACAUUUAUUUUACUAUUAUAUGUCUAUUUAUUAUAAAACAUUAGUCAAUUUUUUAAAACAAUAGAGGACAUAAACAUUAUGAUCAAAAGGAGAUUUUGGUAUUCUUUUUGAAAAUUGAGGGUAUUAGUAACCAUUUCCUUAAACUUUCUCAAACUUUGGAGUGUAGACUUUCUUUUCCCAUUAUUUUAUAAAUAAACCCCCACUUAUUGAUCAAACUACUUUCACAUCAACAUUUUUUUUUCUCUCUUCUCUCUUCCGUCACCCAAACAUGCUUCCAGGCUUUAAAAGGAAGCCAACCACACAAAACUACAAAUGGGAGCGAUUGGCCACCAUCAUCAUGAAGAAAUUUGCAGCUAUCAUUUUAGUUUUGGCGCAAAAAAUACAUGAGUUGUUGAAGUCUCUUUCUCAUAAUUUUGCUACUAUUUAUAUUAUUAUUUACCCACAAACUAGUUGAACUUGGAGGUGACUAUUUUGGUUUCAUUUUUUUAACUAAUUUUUCAUUAGGUGACAUGAUUCUUGUAUACCCAUUAGGCAAUUUUAUAUUUCAUUCAUCAAUUAUAACAACAUGAAAUAGGUUACUAAUGCUUUUGAUCGUUCUGCUUUAGUUAAGGAAAAUGAAUGGUUUAAAAUAAAAAUAAAAAUGCACACAUGAAUAUGUUGGAGAAGGUCAAUUGUGGCGCUCGUACUGAAAUCAACAAUAAAGAUUUUAGUUUGAUAAAACUAGGGAAAGGCCUUAGUCAACUAAAUAGAACGAGAUUAAAAAUGUGAAUGAACC
rnacentral:lncRNA from 1 species